CCCACAUACAUCAUAGCGCUUAAGGCCACCACACACUACUGCUGAUAUCCCCCCACAGUACACUUCAGUUCUUAUUCCUCCCUACACUACAUUUCUCCUCCACACAGACACACUACACCACUAACAGCCCCAUUCACAAACACACAACCCCAUUAGAAGAAUACCCCCUUACGCAACCCCUCAAAGAGCCUCUGCACAUACAUGUAACCCAAAAGUAAAAUCCUCACACAUAUGCAAGCCCACAAGCAGGUCCACACACAGAAUACAUAGUGACAUCAUGAUGUUAGUCAUUCAGUCAUUUUGGAGGAGCCAAUAUACCCAAUGGUGGACGAGAAGGUAGGUUGCACUAAAGGGGAAUCAAACUGAGAUGUCCAUUCUGAUGCAUAGAAAAGGAAUCAAGGGAAAACAAAAACCCACAACAUUCCAUAAAUUAAGCUCAAUGUGUAAGUAUUAUAUUCUGUUUUAAUGUGUCAAACAACUGGUGAAAUGAUAACCACAUUAACCUCAACAAGUAAGAUUUAUUUAAGAAAAGGCAGAUUGUAAUAUCUUUUUACCAAAUUCUGCUUCAUCGGCAGGCACAUUAACCCCUUAAGGACACAUGACAUGUCACGAUUCCCUUUUAUUCCAGAAGUUUGGUCCUUAAGGGGUUAAAGGGAAAUUGUCACCACUUACUUGACC